GUCCCUGUAGCGCUUAUGGAUAGCGCGUUGGAUAUUUAAUCCAAAAGUCGUGUGUUCGAGUCCACCUGGGAUG